GUUUACAGCCAUAUUACCCUGAAUGUGCCAGCUUUCACCUGAUCUUUCUAAGCAUGGUCAGGUCUGGUUAGUACUGGGAUGGGAGGAUAGUUACCAGACUUCUAGAAACC
rnacentral:rRNA from 1 species